rfam:Jatropha curcas cultivar GZQX0401 scaffold16_227, whole genome shotgun sequence.
AGAACAGAGCAUAGCCAAGAACAACUUGCCGGCAAUAUAUAUGGAGAUCCGGCCGGCAAGUCAUCCUUGGCUCCAUUCUACUCUUU